rnacentral:rRNA from 1 species
UACGUAGGUGACCAGCGUUGUCCGGAUUUACUGGGCGUAAGGAGCGCGCAGGCGGUCGUUCAAGUCGAGUGUGAAAGCCCCCGGCUCAACUGGGGAGGGUCAUUCGAUACUGAUCGACUUGAAGGCAGGAGAGGGAAGUGGAAUUCCCGGUGUAGUGGUGGAAUGCGUAGAUAUCGGGAGGAACACCAGUGGCGAAGGCGGUUGCCUGGAGCUUUGCUGACGCUGAGGCGCGAAAGCGUGGGGAGCGAUCCGG